rnacentral:lncRNA from 1 species
GAAAGAGGAGGAGUUGAUUUGAGUAAACUAGUGACUGAAACUUAUGAGUUCGCAGAAGAAUGCUUGCAAAUAAACUAUUAUGGUGCUAAAAGAACAGCUGAAGCACUUAUCCCACUCCUCCAGUUAUCUGACUCACCGAGAAUUGUUAAUGUUUCGUCUGGCGCGGGGAAGUUAAAAAACAUACCAAACGAUUGGGCUAAAGGAGUUUUUACUGAUGCCGAAAACCUAACAGAAGAGAGAGUAGAUGAGGUACUGACUGAGCUUCUAAAAGAUUUCAAGGAGGGUUCACUUGAAAGUAAGGGCUGGCCCUCUAUGCCUGCCUACAUAGUCUCAAAAGCAGCACUGAACGCAUAUACAAGGAUUCUAGCAAAGAAGUACCUCAAUUUUCGCAUCAAUUCGGUCUGCCCUGGCUUUGUCAAAACAGAUAUGAACUGCAAUGUUGGCGUCUUGCCUGUCGAAGAAGGUGGUGCCAGGGUUGCGAAGUUUGCAUUGCUGCCCAAUGAUGGCCCUACUGGCUCCUUCUUUGUUCACAAUGAAGUGUCAGAUUUUUGAUUGAAGAUGAUCCAUUUAUGCAAAUUUAAUACGAUUCGCUUAUUGGGCAAUAUCUUGUACUGUAAUGUAAUUUUAAGUAUUUUGGUAUGUAUAUUGAUUGAAGGAUCAUGCUUAUUGUGUACACGUACCAAGUACCCUAGAAAGAUCAGUGGCUGGAAUUAAGGGGUUUGACGAAGUAGCAUUCUCCUUGUUCCAAUCAAGGGGAGAGAGUCUUGGGUAAGGCAGCCGCUUGCGAAAUCACACUCACAAAGAGUCAAGACCCACAUUCAGAGGACUCUCACCCUUAUUUAAGUGUGCUACACUGCUACCGGUGCGGCGGUUUUAUUUAAGAUUUUUUCCUAUCAAAAGGUGAAAGUUGUCACAAGUAAAUUAAUAUCCAUGUUUGUACAAGGAUAUUAUUAGUCAAUUAGAAAUUUUCUGGGCUGAAAGUCUUGCAUGCGAAACUGCUUGCCACUGCCACCACCAAAAUUCUUCAACAACGUGAGCACUUGCGUCACCACGCCCCCAUUAUUUAUCUGAAUAUGAUUCCCAGAAUUCAAGGGCUUUUGAAGAACAUUUCAUUAUAAAAGAAAAGAAGGCUCUUGCUGUUUAAUACACGUCUCAAUUUUCACAGACCGUCCCGUUUCGAAUCUAUCAAUGGCAGAAGUAACAAAGAGGUAGCACUUUAGACUUCUUUAUGCUUUGUUUCCUUGUCCGAUUUCCAAUCCCUUUAAUUGUUUUUGUUUCUAUGAAAUUGGUGUUUGUGUUUUCUUAGGUAUGCAGUUGUUACUGGAGCAAACAAAGGCAUAGGAUUGGAAACUGUCAGGCAGUUGGCCUCAAAGGGGUUCACCGUAGUCUUAACUGCCCGAGAUGAGAAGAGGGGUCUUGAAGCUGUUGAGAAACUCAAAGAGUCUGGCCUCUCUGGUCAAGUGGUUUUUCAUCAACUUGAUGUAGCUAACCCUGCUACUGUUGCUUCCUUGGCAAACUUCAUCAAAAUCCAGUUUGGGAAACUCGAUAUCUUGGUAUAUAUAUGAUCAUAGCUGCAGGUUUCUUCAAAAAAGUUUCUGUCUUUUGAAUCCAACUCGUAAUCCAAAUGCGAUUUAGUGGAAGGAGAAGAAAUAUGGCAUUGGAGAAUAAAAACGGCAAACCAAGUAAUACUAGCUUAAUAAUAUCAUCAAGAAGUUAAUCUUUGAAAUAAUUAGAAGUCCUAGGCUUUUUGAAGAACAAAACAAGUUUCACAUAACUACCAGUUGUGGAAGGUUUUACUUUCAAAUCUAACUCUAUGUCUGCCACUCUGUUUUUGUUUCUUGGAAUCUUUUCAUAUAUGAUAUAAUCCCUUUCUGUACAAUUUACAAGUACCCUAGUAAGAUCAGUGGCUGGAGUUGAGGGGUUUGGCAAAGUAGCAUAAUUAUUGUGCUUCUUUAAAGGGAUUGGCCUUUAUGGUUGGUAAUAGUAUGGUUGUAACAACAAAGAGAUUGUCAGAGUAAUCAGAUAGUGAAACAGACAGUGAAACAGUAUGGUUGUAUCAACUUUCUUUUCAUUUCAUUUUCUAUAAAAACAUGUCUGUUCUUUUCUUUGCUAAAAGAAAACAGAUAGUGAAACAGUUGGACUCUGCACAGGUGAACAAUGCAGGGAUUGGUGGAAGUAUAGUAGAUGGUGAUGCUUUAAAAGCUGCUGUAGCCUCUGGUGCCAUGGUAAGUUUUUUGCAUAAUUUUUAUCAAUAGCUAUCAAAAACUAAAAGCUUCAAUGAAUGUGACAAAGUUAGAAUAUAAACUGAUCUGUGGUUUGGCAAACUUUAAUCAACAUUUUUCUUGUUUUGGGUGGGUGUGUAAGUGGUGGGCAAUAGGCACCUUAAUAAUAAGUUUGCUUUUACUGAUACAGGAAAGAGGAGAAGUUGAUUUGAGUAAACUAAUGACUGAAACUUAUGAGUUAACAGAAGAAUGCUUGCAAAUAAACUAUUAUGGUGCUAAAAGAACAGCUGAAGCACUUAUCCCACUCCUCCAGUUUUCUGACUCACCGAGAAUUGUUAAUGUUUCAUCUUCCAUGGGGAAGUUAGAGAAGAUACCAAGCGAUCGGGCUAGAGGAGUUUUUACUGAUGCUGAAAACCUAACAGAAGAGAGAGUAGAUGAGGUACUGACCGAGCUUCUAAAAGACUUCAAGGAGGGUUCACUUGAAAGGAAGGGCUGGCCUUCUUCUAUGCCUGCCUAUACAGUCUCAAAAGCAGCACUGAACGCAUAUACAAGGAUUUUAGCAAAGAAGUACCUCAAUUUUCGUAUCAAUUCAGUCUGCCCGGGCUUUGUCAAAACAGAUAUAAACUACAAUGUCGGUGUCCUACCUGUCGAAGAAGGGGCUGCAAGGGUUAUGAAGUUAGCAUUGCUGCCCAAUGAUGGCCCUACUGGCUCCUUCUUUGUUCACAAUGAAGUGUCGGAUCUUUGAUUGAAGAAGAUCCAUUUAUGCAAAUUUAAUACGAUUCGCUUAUUGGGCAACAUCUUGUACUGUAAUGUAAUUUUAAGUAUUUUGGACACCAACAGAUCCUUUUGACGUUCUUUCUACAUUCAAUAAGAGGAUGGCAUAUAUGAUGUUUUAUCUAUGUAAAAUUUCACCAUAGCACACUGUUUAAAUAACAAAAGAAAAGGUCAGGUGUUUCUGGCCUAACCGGAAGCCUUCCCCUUUGGUUUUAGGGGAAAGACUUAGCUGUCCUAGGGUGACUACUCCUUGUUCUUUCCUGUAGCAUCUUGUGAUGCAUGCAAGUUUCUUGCGUUUUGAGAAGAGAGACAACGCUGCCAAAUAAAGGCUAAAAGAGUAUUGAGUAAGGCAGUCGCAUCUGAAAUCACAUACACAAGGAGUUUUUUCUUCUUUUAGAAAUGGAAUUCAUUCAUAGAAUCAAAGUAGCGUAUAUAGAACGACACGAAACAGUGACCUAGUUAAAACAUUGUUUAGGGACAAAUUCCAGGGUAGGAAAGAGUACCACAUAUAUCAUUGACUAACAAGAGAGUCUAAAACAAUCACGCAUGACCAAUGCUAGAGCAAGAUAAAAUAAAACAGCAAACUGACACAUAGACCUCCGACGAGAACACUAUAACACAGUCCAAUUGCCAAAAGAGUCAUACUAUGAAAUUAUAGUCCUUUUGACGCAGCGAGAUAUAGGGAUAGGGAGAUCGAACGAUAACCCUACAAUUAACAAUGUCGGAAUCCACCAACAAACUGAAAUCCAUCAGAGAAAUUGAGUAAAACCUCAAAUAUAUUGAUUGAAAAUAAGAUGAAUAAACUGACAAAUACAAUGCCAUGUGUUGGCUUAAAUAGAAAACAAAGAAACCCUAAAACAGUAGGAAACCCUAUGUUCUAGCAUAUUCCUAAACUUACCUAACAAGAAAAUAAUAAAAAUAAUAGCUCAAAAUCAUAAUAACAAAAUAAUAUCCUAAUAGAUAACUUAUUCUUCCAAAUAUAAAAUAAAACAUUAAAUUAAAUACAAAUCUUAACAGAAUCAUAAUUGUUUCAAACUUCCUUAAUCAAUUAGAAAAUCCCAACGAUAUGCCUUCCUUCUUUUCCUAGCGCCAUAAUUGACAUUUAAUUGGAAUUUUCCUCUCUUGCAUGAUUUUCUUACAACUUUGAGCCACUCCACUUUAUUUUAAUUAAUUUUUCACACUUCGUCCUACAUCACCUUUGCACAGCCACAAGACAUUGAGAGUACCCGACAGAGAACACAAUACACCAAGAAGAAAGAAAACAUCCACUAAGCACACCAUCUCUAGCCAACUCCAAUAGCAAUUGGUGAUGAAAGAAGAGAAAUAUGCGAGGAACAACACAAAGAAGAGACUAAUCACGCAAACAGGCCAGGAAAGAAAAUAAAAUAAAAAAGCCCUCAAGCAUGCUGUAUCAUCUGAACACUAACAAAGAAACCUUCUAUGAAAACGUAGUCCUUAAGACAGGCGGAGAAUCAAAGAUUAACUAAGAGGAGAACGAAGAAAACACCACGCAAUGCAACAAUAACAAAAUUGGUCUAGCCAUUUAACCUGAAUACAGGGAUCAAGCACAAGAGCAUUCGCCAGAUGCCAAGCCCACGAAUGCUCCAAGAACACAUUAAGGAAUGCUUCAAGAACACAUUAAGGAAGGCUCCUAGGAGAUUCCACUUGACCAAUCCCCAUAGGUUUGUUAGGACGGACACCAACAUCACCCAAAUUCGCAGUCCCAAUUGCAGAGUAACUAGCCAAACCUGUAAAGAUGGGUAAAAGUGAAGAAAACCUAUAGAAAAUCAUGAGUUUCAUUUGAACAUCAACAUAGAUAAAUAAAAUCAUGGCAACGGAAGCUUAAGCAUGCAUCUAUGAGUUCAACAACAAAAAUUUUCCCAUAUAUCUUUUAAGCCAAGUGAUGGUUGUACUAUUUUCCUAGAACCUACUUCUAAGAAGAUUGGAAGGAGGAGUUAUUUUUGGUGCGUGCUUUCAACCCUAUGAUCGAAUUCCACCAAAGUUGUUGAAGCUUGAAUGACUCCUUCAAAAACUCUAACUUGAGAGGUUCUCCAAAAGUCACCAAAAUAGGUAACCUCUAAGUCUCUUCACCAACUAGAGCUUGAGAAGAAGAUGGUGAGCUUAGUGAGUGGAUGAUCCUAGUAAUCCAUCACUAAGAUAGUAUGAAAGUGUAGAGAGACUUUUGGAAUACUAGAGCUUUCUCUCUCUCUCUUGAUUUUCACUAAUGCUAAGGCUUCAAAAAAAUGAUAGUCAUCUUUUACUUGAGUCAACAAGUUGACUCUAGUAACCAAAAGCCCAUAUGAACGCGUAUCCCUUGAAAUUGGGCCUUUGGGCUCAAUUUUGUUUAAGUUGUCAUACAACCCAUAAAGCCCAAUGAGCCUAGAAUUCAAAAUUCCCCGUUUAAAGCCUAUUCCAACAUUAUGUGUCAUUUAAAUUAAUUCCAUAAUUAAUUUUCCCUUAACAAAUUAACUAAGCUUAAUUGAUCUCUUCAAUUCAUCAUCUCCAUAACGGUUUCUCAAAUAACUCUAGUUUAACAGUGUGCGAUCCAAUAGGUUCUAAUUAGCAAGGUCGUGGGCAAUUUGAACUCUUCGUAAUUGAUUUGUGAAUUAAAACCCCCUUUUAAUUCUCCAUAUUAGCUAGGAUCAUUAGUCCUUAGGGCUUCAACCAUGCAUGAGUGACACCUAGCAGUAUGUCAUGAAUAUCCAAGCUAAGUAGAAUAAGUAGAGAACCUAUUCAGUUGGAAUUACAAUGCAAUACGGUCUUUCCCUAUUACAAUACUCUUAAUCUCAUUGCUAGGGCAUGGUGCGUGUCAAACCCUAAUGAGAUUGUCAAGUCUUAUAUGAUUUGUAUUAGUAUGACUAGAACAUCUUUCUAGGUCAUACCGAAUACUCUGAUAUGAGAUUUGCUUAAUCAUAUCUUCCGAGCAUUCUCAUUCUUUACUGAAGGAUACCGAUUCCAUGUUGUACACACACAUGUCUACAUGAGUUAAUCAAGAACCCCAACAAUGCUUGUACCACGUCCGUGAUUAAGACAUGUAUUUAUAGCAUUAUUAAAGAUCCACAACCUUCCCAUAAGACAAGCAUGGUGCCUCAGGACUAAGUACUAAUUUGCAUUAUUGCAACUUGGAGUUUCUUGUUUCACAUAUAAGUAAAAUUUCCAUAUAAGAAACUCUCGUUUGAUAAGUGUCAUUACAAUAAGAAAUGCUAGAGGUGAACAUGGCUUGAAGUUUGAAAUUAAUUUCUGACACAAUCAUUCUGUCCAGCCUUGCUUCAUAUAUAACAGAUGAAGAUAUCCAAAAGGGCAUCUUGUAUCCAUCUAUUCACAGAUAAUAUUCUCAGCUCCUUGCAGCAUUAAGAGCUCGUCUGAUUUUUAUCAAAAAUGGCAUCGCAAUUCUCAACUGCUGUAACAACUGAGAGGAGGGUGGGGCAACUGGUUGAUUGUAUUACCCGACUGUUUCUAUUGUAUAUGGUGCAGUAUCCGACAUAUAACAGUGGAGGUUGGAGCUGCUGUCCUGCGGGCAGCUGUUGCAGAAGAACUGGCCGAAGGACAUUGUGAUGUGGUUCCCAGAGAGCUCAUGUACAUGUCAAAAGUAAGAACUGAUAUUCAAUCUUCCCUCCACAAAAUACAAAAGCUCUUUUUAAAACACACAAAAUGUCUAAGCGAAUUUUGAUUUAGAAAGCAAGCUCUACAUGUUAGACUACUUUUGCAAAAGGUCUGAACAUGCCAAAGAGGACGUAUUUAGGUGAAGGCGUAUACAUACAGAAAAUGCUAUUCUAAUAAACAUCUAGUCAAACAACCAUAACCAAGAACCUUGAAAAUUGCUUUGCUAGCUUUUGCUUAUAUUGCCAGAGUUUUAGAAGAAAAAUUGUGAUUUUCCUGAAAUCUAUUUUGGUUUUUAUCUUCUUGUUACAGGAGGAGAGUCUGGAAUAUGUGAGUCGCAGCAUGUGGUUCCCAGUUUAUAGCCCUCUUGUUCAUGAAAAAUGAGGCUUGGUUUUGUAUUAUCGUACGCAGUAGGCUGUCGUUGGAGGCUAUAUUUUUUUUGCAGCUCAUAUAUAUCAAUAGGUCUGCAGCUAAGCAACUUAUUCUUGGUCUUUCUUGGAUUCGUAGUUUACAAGCUCAGAGAAGUAGAAGGCAAAGAAGGGAACGGAAAUAAGGCCCUCUUACUAAACUGAAAAGAAAGUAGAAGCCCAUUUGUUUGAACAAUGCAUAAUUACGUGACUAAUAUUAGUGCAAUGUCUUUGUGUUAACUUUCUUUUACGUUAACUUAAUAACAAAGCAAACUGCACCCAAAAAAAAAAAAAAAAGUUCAGGUGUUUUUGGCCUCACAGUAAGAUCCCAGUUGACUUGACCUUCCCCUUUGGUUUUGGGCCAAAGGACUUAGCCGUCCUAGGGUGACUACUGCUAGUUUCUAUAAACGCCGAGAGAGUCUUGUGUAGGGCAGCCACAUGUCAAAUUACACUCGCAAAGAGUUAAGACCUACAUUCAGAGGGUUUUGCCUUUAUUUGAGUGUGCUACCGGUGAGGUGGUCCUAUCUAAGAUUUUUAACUAUCAAUGUAUGUAUUUUAAAUCUAUUAGGGAUGAAAAUGUAAGGGAGAAAAAGACAGAAUUUUCGAAAGGUGGUGUGUAUGUAAGAUUUAUUUCUUAUGAAGUAAUUUGAUCCAUGUUUCUAUAGGAUAUUAUUAUUUACAUUAUUAGUCAAUUAGAGUAGUCAAAACCACCAAUCUUUGCAUGCGAAACUGCUGACUCUGCAACUGCCUCCACCAAAAUUCUCCAACAACGUGGGCACUUGUGUCACCACGCCCCCAUUCUUUUCCUUGAAAAUCUUAAAAACAAAAAUCCAAACAAAUCACUCUCAAGCUAACCACACACGAGCCAAGAACACCAAGAAGUUCUUGCUCAAUAGGAAAGAAUACACUAAAAACAAUACAAAGAAAUAAACCUCUCACAAACACAAGGAACCAAUAAAGAAGACUCAACCUUUGAAAUGGCUUGAUCUUUCAUCGACAUCUUGUGUAGCCAAAGAUGAGUUUAUCUCCACCUUCAUGGUGAUGUUCUCUAGUGUUUCUCUCUUUGUGGAAGUAUCUCUCACUUCUAUUUUAGCCUCUCUGAGCAAUGGUGCUCAUGGCUCCAAAUGGUGAGGCACAAAUGGCCACUCUUCUUUUGCAUGCACCAUUUCUUCCUUUUAUAAACCCAUGCAGCUCUCCAAAUGAGAGCAACCACAUGCCAACGAAGCCACGUGAUGGCCAGCCAAAGAAGGAAAAAAUUCCUUCAUCAUUGCACCACCACCAUGCAUUGUCUCUCACCAAAGACAUCAUCAUUCCAUGCAAUAUUAUUGGCCACCAACUUCAACAAUUGCGGCUUCCCAUUUUAAUCUUCCUCUAACAGGUUGGCCACGUUAUUGGUCAUUAGAGUAAUCAAAUUCACCAGUCUUUGCAUGCGAAACUGCUUACUCUGCUCUGCUACUGCCUCCAUCAAAACUCUCCAACAACGUGGGCACUUGCGUCACCACGCCCCAUUAUUUUCCUCGAAAAUCUUAAAAACAAAAGAGUAGUCAAAUUCGCCACUGCAACUGCUUACUCUGCUCUGCAAAAGCCUCCACCAAAAUUCUCCAACAACGCGGGCACUUGCGUUACCACGGCGCCAUUUUUUUCAUUGAAAAUCUUAAAAACAAAAAUCCAAACAAAUAUUGGUCCCUCUUUCACCACAAUUUCCAAUUACUUCUAAGAAAACAUUAGAAGCUUCCUCCCUCCAGUGUGUACAUAGGAACAAAAGAAUCAAUAAUUUUCUUCUUCUUACAAAGGCUGCUGUCCUCCACCAUGAAGAAAUAAAUUUGAUUUCUUCUUACAAAGGUUCUUAGACACGUGGGUGCAAUUUGGGCUAACAAAAUUAACAAGGGCUGCUCAAAACACAUCACAUGCCAUCAAAUUUGAACCAAUUUCAACACAAAAUUCAAAGGAUUUCCAAGAACAUUUCACUAUAAAAGAAAAGAAGGGUUCCUUCUGUUUAAUACACAUCUCAAUUCUCACAGACCGUCCCGUUUCGAAUAUAUCAAUGGCAGAAGCAACAAAGAGGUAGCACUUUAGACUUCUUUAUGCUUUGUUUCCUUGCCCGAUUCCCAAUCCCAUUAAUUGUUUUUGUUUCUAUGAAUUUGGUGUUUGUAUUUUCUUAGGUAUGCAGUUGUUACUGGAGCAAACAAAGGCAUGGGAUUGGAAACUGUAAGGCAGUUGGCCUCAAAUGGGUUCACCGUAGUCUUAACUGCCCGAGAUGAGAAGAGGGGUCUUGAAGCUGUUGAGAAACUCAAAGAGUCUGGCCUCUCAGGUCAAGUGGUUUUUCAUCAACUUGAUGUGGCUAACCCUGCUACUGUUGCUUCUUUGGCAGACUUCAUCAAAACCCAGUUUGGGAAACUCGAUAUCUUGGUAUGUAUAUGAUCCUAGCGGCAAGUUUCUUGAAAAAGUUUAUCUUGGUAUGUAUAUGAUCCUAGCGGCAGGUUUAAUAGAAGGAGAUUAAAUAUGGAAUCAUAUAGAAAAUGAAAUUGGAGAAUAAAAAUAGCAAACCAAGUAAUAACUAGCGUAAUAAUAUCAUCAACAAGUUAAUCUUUGAAAUGAUUAGAAGUCUUCGGCUUUUUGAAGAACAAAACAAGAUUCACGUAACUACCAGUUGUGGAAGAUUUUACUUUCAAAUCUAACUCUAUGUCUGCCACUCUGUUUUUGUUUCUCGGAAUCUUUUCAUAUUUGAUAUGAUCCCUUUCUGUACAAUUUACAAGUACCCUAGAAAGAUCAGUGGCUGGAAUUAAGGGGUUGGCAAAGUAGCAUAAUUAUUGUGCUUCUUUAAAGGCAUUGGCCUUUAUGGUUGGUAUGGUUGUAAAAACAAAGAGAUUGUCAGAGUACUCAGAGGAUCUAUCAACUUUCUUUUCAUUUCAUUUUCUAUAUAUAAAAAAAUCUGUUCUUUUCUUUGCUAAAAGGAAACAGAAAGUGAAACAGUUGGACUCUGCACAGGUGAACAAUGCAGGGAUUUAUGGAAGCAUAUUAGACGGUGAUGCUUUUAAAGCUGUUAUAGCCUCUGGUGCCAUGGUAAGUUUUUUGCAUAAUUUUUAUCAUAUAAAAAACUAAAAGCUUCAAUGUAUGUGCCAAAGUGAGAAUUUAAACUGAUCUGUAAGUGGUGGGCAAUAAGCACCAUAAUAAUAAGUUUGUUUUGGCUGAUACAGGAAAGAGGAGAAGUUGAUUUGAGUAAACUAGUGACUGAAACUUAUGAGUUUGCAGAAGAAUGCUUGCAAAUAAACUAUUAUGGUGCUAAAAGAACAGCUGAAGCACUUAUCCCACUCCUCCAGUUAUCUGACUCACCGAGAAUUGUUAAUGUUUCGUCUGGUGCGGGGAAGUUAAACAACAUACCAAGCGAUUGGGCUAAAGGAGUUUUUACUGAUGCCAAAAACCUAACAGAAGAGAGAGUAGAUGAGGUACUGACUGAGUUUCUAAAAGAUUUCAAGGAGGGUUCACUUGAAAGUAAAGGCUGGCCUUCUUCUAUGCCUGCCUAUACAGUCUCAAAAGCAGCACUGAACGCAUAUACAAGGAUUCUAGCAAAGAAGUACCUCAAUUUUCGUAUCAAUUCGGUCUGCCCUGGCUUUGUCAAAACAGAUAUAAACUGCAAUGCCGGCGUCUUGCCUGUCGAAGAAGGUGGGGCCAGGAUUGUGAAGUUAGCAUUGCUGCCCAGUGAUGGCCCUACUGGCUCCUUCUUUGUUCACAAUGAAGUGUCAGAUCUUUGAUUGAAGAUGAUCCAUUAUGCAAAUUUAAUACGAGUCACUUAUUGGGCAACAUCUCGUACUGUAAUGCAAUUUUAAGUAUUUUGGUAUGUAUAUUGAUUGAAGGAUCUAGUGCAUUGUUUACAUUUCUACCAUUCAUAUGUUAAUGUGCAAAAAUGGUAAACUGAUUUAGUAUGUAAUUGCUGGUUUAGUGUUAUACUUAGCUUAUAGGCUAAGCUGUCUAUAAUAGUCAAAAUGGUUUGUUAAGUCUUAUAGGACUUGACAGGACAGGUGUCAUAGUCUUACUAAUAGUGUAGUUGGAUGGUUGAGAUUGAAGCUAGGAUUUGUCUAGCUCUCUCUCUCUUCUAACAGUAAUAUGAGCUGUGAGUGAAACAGCUCGAUAUACCCAACGAAAUACAAAAAGUUUUACCGAGCAUUUUAUUUCCUUCACUCUCUUUUUCAAUAUACUCAUUCCUCCAUUUUUAUCAGAAGCUUAUUAAACACUAACAUGGCCUCAGAGCCAGGUUGGGUCUGAAUUUCUGGGCAUUGUGACUGUGAGGUUAGGUUUGAAUCUGUGAGCAAAAGCUCGUUGUGUGAUUCUUGAGCUCAAAUCAGUAAUCUAGACUAACAUGUCUGGAUCUGGAGGAGGAGAACUCAGGGCACCCAUUUUUAAUGGUGAAAAUUUCAAUUUCUGGCAAAUCAAAAUGAAAACCAUCUUCCGUUCGCACGAGCUGUGGGAUCUUGUGGAGAAUGGGUACAAAACUCCGACGAAGGAGGGGGAGGAGCUCACGGAGGUAGAGAGGAAGCUGAUGCGUGAGAACUUGGUGAAGGACGCUAGAGCUCUGGGUAUCAUCCAAGGGGCUGUAUCAGAUCAAAUUUUUCCACGAAUUGCAACUUAGGAAUCUACAAAGGCUGCGUGGGAUAUUCUAAAACAAGAAUUUGUGGGUGAUAAGCAGGUAAGAUCUGUGAAACUUCAGGGUCUUAGGCGUGAUUUUGAAUAUACUCGGAUGAGUGAUAAUGAAUCAUUGUUUGGAUAUAUUGCUAAGUUGUUUGAUCUGAUCAACCAAAUGAAGAGCUAUGGUGAGGAUCUGAGCAAUCAACGAAUUGUUCAGAAACUACUUAUUAGUCUGCCUAAGUCCUAUGAUAGUAUUGCAGCUGUGAUAGAGAAUACAAAAGAUUUAGACACUAUUGAUGCUCAGGAUGUUGUUGCUAUUUUAAAAGGAUAUGAGCAGAGGCAGGGGCGGAACUAUUCAUAGGCCUGAGAUGGCCUGGGCCCCCCCAUCAUCUUCUAAACUCUUUGAAUGUAUAAAGAGUAUAGCAUAGAUUGCACAAAAAAUCCUAUAAUUUUAAAGCUUGUGGCCCCCCCAAAUAUUAAACUCUACCUCCGCCACUGAGCAGAGGCUUGAUAGGCAUGGUGACAAUAGUGCAGAGAAGGCUUUUGCUAGCUUCAACGUUGGAUCAAAGGCAACACGGUCUAAUGGUCACACCAGUAAGUCUCAGAAGAAUGCCAAACCACACGGGCAGCAAUGGGGCAACAAGGGUGAUGGAGGUAAUAAGUCUAAUUCCUCAAUGAAAAAUGAGACAUACAACAUUGGAAAUAAAUGCAAAUUCUGUGAUAAAUUGCACUAUGGAGAGUGUUGGUUUAAGAACAAGGUCAAGUGUCACAAGUGUAACAAAAUUGGGCAUAUUGCAAAAUAUUGUCAUACAAACAAGGCUGUGCAGCAUAUGAACUUUGCUAAUCAUGUUGAAGAAACAGGAAACUUAUUCUUUGCUAAUCAUUCUGGAGAAGUAAAGAAGAUGAGUGAUGAAUGGUACAUAGAUAGUGGAUGUAGCAAUCAUAUGACAUCCAGGGAAGACUUGCUUGUAGACAUUGUCAGAGAAGUGAAAGCAAAGGUUCAAGUAGGCAAUGGAGUUUUGGUUGAAGUGGCAGGAAAAGGGACAUUGAUCAUUGAAACAAUGAAGGGUAAGAGGUAUAUAAAGGAGGUUAUGCUUGUACCUAGUCUAGCUGAAAAUUUGCUAAGUGUAGGACAGAAGACAGAGCAUGGCUAUUUUCUUGUAUUUGGAGAUCACAAGGUUGACAUCUUCGAUGAUAGUUCCUUAAGUAACAUGGUGGUAAGUGUAAAGCAAAAGGGGAACAGGUGUUUUCCUUUAACUUUCAACAAAAUCAAGGUGAUUGCCUUGAAAACAAAUGUGCAAGAAUGCUCCAAGAUAUGGCACAAGAGGUUUGGGCACUUAAACUUUCGAAGCCUCAAGCUACUGCAGAGCCAAGCAAUGGUAUUGGGGCUGCCUGAAAUCCAAAACGGUGAAGUGUUGUGCCACAGUUGUGUAUUGUGGAAGGGUCACAGGGAGCCAUUUCCUAAGGAAUCAAAGUGGAGAGCCAAGGAGCCAUUAGAAUUGAUUCAUUCAGACUUGUGUGGUCCAAUGCAAACAGCAAGCCUAGGUGGAAAUAAAUAUUUUAUCACAUUCAUAGAUGAUUUUUCAAGGAUGUGCUGGGUUUAUUUUCUGAGAAACAAGUCCGAGACAUUCCAUGUGUUCAAGAAAUUCAAAGUAAUGGUGGAGCUUCAAUCCGGAUACCAUGUGAAGAGGUUGAGGAUUGAUCGGGGAGGAGAAUACAUCUCAGCUGAUUUUCUCCAGUUUUGUGAAAAUCUGGGAAUAGAAAGGCAACUCACAGUUGCUUAUUCUCCACAGCAAAAUGGCGAUGCGGAGAGGAAAAACAGAACCAUUGUAGAAAUGGCAAAGUGCAUGAUUCAUGACAAGGAGCUUCCCUACACGCUUUGGUGUGAGGCAGUGAAUACCUCUGUGUAUUUACUUAAUAGAAGUCCAACCCGAGCUUUGGAGAAUACUACACCUUUUGAGAAGUUUAGUGGGAGAAAGCCUGGAGUUAAACAUCUCAAGGUGUUUGGCUCGGUGUGUUACUCACUUAUUCCUGGAAAGUUAAGGCAUAAGCUAGAAGCAACAAGUGCCAUAUGAGUUUUUAUUGGUUAUGGUAGAUGUGAGAAGGGAUAUAGAAUAUUGAAUCCUGCAACUCAGAAGGUUUUGCUGUCAAGGGAUGCGGUUUUUGAUGAGCAUGGAAAAUGGAACUGGGAGCAACACAAAGUGAAAGAAAUCUGCAUUCCACUUCCUACAGAUGAACUGUCAGAUAUGAGAACAGCUGAAUCAAAAGAAGAACCUACUUUCCAAGAACCUGAAACAGAAGAAGAACCUGCAGAUGAUCCCUCAGUUGAUGACACACCUUUGAGGUACAGAAAUUUGAGUGAGAUCUAUGCAAGUUGCCAUUCAUGGAUAGUGGAGCCUGAGAACUUUGAUGAAGCUGCACGGGAUGAAGCUUGGAAGAAGGCAAUGGAAAAUGAGAUGAACAUGGUUGAGAAGAAUCAGACGUGGGAAUUGGUAAAUAGACCUUUCAACAAACCUAUAAUUGGAGUAAAAUAGGUGUACAAGACUAAGUUGAACUUGGAUGGUUCGGUUCAAAAGCAUAAAGCUAGACUAGUUGCAAAGGGCUAUGCACAAAAGCCUGGAAUAGAUUAUAAUGAAACCUUUGCACCAGUGGCAAGGUUGGAUACUAUACGAACUCUCAUUGCCUUGGCUGCAAAGAAUAGUUGGAAAAUGUAUCAAUUAGAUGUGAAAUCAGCUUUUCUAAAUGGAGUGCUUCAAAAGGAGGUGCAUGUAGAGCAGCCCGAUGGUUUUAUUGUGCAAGGAGAAGAGGAUAAAGUGUAUAAAUUGCACAAAGCCUUGUAUGGCUUGAAACAGGCUCCUAGAGCCUGGUAUGGAGAAAUAGACUCUUAUCUCGUGCAAUGUGGUUUUAAAAGGAGCACAAGUGAGGCAACAUUAUAUGUUAAAGGCAGGGGAACCUCGGAUUUGGUCAUAGUAUCUAUCUAUGUGGAUGAUAUAGUUUAUACAGGGAAUUCUCAAGAGCUAAUGCAAGAUUUCAAGACUAAUAUGAUGCAGAGGUAUGAGAUGACUGAUUUGGGUUUGCUACAUCACUUUCUAGGAAUGGGAAUUAUCCAAAGUGAAGACUACAUUUUCAUAUACCAGAAGAAAUAUGCUUCCACACUUUUGGAAAGGUUUGGUCUGCAGGAUUGUAAACCGGUUGGUAUUCCUCUUGUACCAACUGAUAAAUUGAAGAGAGAUGAUGAAAGUGGAGCUUCAAAUGAAGCUGAAUACAGAAAACUAGUGGGAAGUCUACUCUACCUCACUUUCUCGCUCUGAUAAAACUCUUUUAAGAUAAAGCUCUCACACUCUCAAAUUUCUCUCUCUCUAUUUUCUCUUUGGAUACCGUAUUCUACAACUGAAUGAGCAAGCCUAUUUAUAGUCAAAUUGGGUGGCUUCAUGUGCAUCUCCAAAGUCUUCUUCUCCCAACAUCAUCAUUUUCCUUUUGACUAUCAUUUUCUUAUUUUCUUUGUGUGGGCUCCAUCUACAUCCUUUACAACAUAAUCAACAAUUUUCUACUUCUUAUUAUUUAUUUGAAUAUGAACCUCAAAAUUCAAAGGCCUUCCAAGAAAAUUUCACUAUAAAAGAAAAGAAGGCUCUCCUUCUAUUUAAUACACAUCUCAAUUCUCACAGGCCGUCCCGUUUCGAAUCUAUCAAUGGCAGAAGCAACAAAGAGGUAGCACUUUAGACUUCUUUAUGCUUUGUUUCCUUGUCCGAUUUCCAAUCCCUUUAAUUGUUUUUGUUUCUAUGAAAUUGGUGUUUGUGUUUUCUUAGGUAUGCAGUUGUUACUGGAGCAAACAAAGGCAUAGGAUUGGAAACUGUCAGGCAGUUGGCCUCAAAGGGGUUCACCGUAGUCUUAACUGCCCGAGAUGAGAAGAGGGGUCUUGAAGCUGUUGAGAAACUCAAAGAGUCUGGCCUCUCUGGUCAAGUGGUUUUUCAUCAACUUGAUGUAGCUAACCCUGCUACUGUUGCUUCCUUGGCAAACUUCAUCAAAAUCCAGUUUGGGAAACUCGAUAUCUUGGUAUAUAUAUGAUCAUAGCUGCAGGUUUCUUCAAAAAAGUUUCUGUCUUUUGAAUCCAACUCGUAAUCCAAAUGCGAUUUAGUGGAAGGAGAAGAAAUAUGGCAUUGGAGAAUAAAAACGGCAAACCAAGUAAUACUAGCUUAAUAAUAUCAUCAAGAAGUUAAUCUUUGAAAUAAUUAGAAGUCCUAGGCUUUUUGAAGAACAAAACAAGUUUCACAUAACUACCAGUUGUGGAAGGUUUUACUUUCAAAUCUAACUCUAUGUCUGCCACUCUGUUUUUGUUUCUUGGAAUCUUUUCAUAUAUGAUAUAAUCCCUUUCUGUACAAUUUACAAGUACCCUAGUAAGAUCAGUGGCUGGAGUUGAGGGGUUUGGCAAAGUAGCAUAAUUAUUGUGCUUCUUUAAAGGGAUUGGCCUUUAUGGUUGGUAAUAGUAUGGUUGUAACAACAAAGAGAUUGUCAGAGUAAUCAGAUAGUGAAACAGACAGUGAAACAGUAUGGUUGUAUCAACUUUCUUUUCAUUUCAUUUUCUAUAAAAACAUGUCUGUUCUUUUCUUUGCUAAAAGAAAACAGAUAGUGAAACAGUUGGACUCUGCACAGGUGAACAAUGCAGGGAUUGGUGGAAGUAUAGUAGAUGGUGAUGCUUUAAAAGCUGCUGUAGCCUCUGGUGCCAUGGUAAGUUUUUUGCAUAAUUUUUAUCAAUAGCUAUCAAAAACUAAAAGCUUCAAUGAAUGUGACAAAGUUAGAAUAUAAACUGAUCUGUGGUUUGGCAAACUUUAAUCAACAUUUUUCUUGUUUUGGGUGGGUGUGUAAGUGGUGGGCAAUAGGCACCUUAAUAAUAAGUUUGCUUUUACUGAUACAGGAAAGAGGAGAAGUUGAUUUGAGUAAACUAAUGACUGAAACUUAUGAGUUAACAGAAGAAUGCUUGCAAAUAAACUAUUAUGGUGCUAAAAGAACAGCUGAAGCACUUAUCCCACUCCUCCAGUUAUCUGACUCACCGAGAAUUGUUAAUGUUUCAUCUUCCAUGGGGAAGUUGGAGAAGAUACCAAGCCAUCGGGCUAGAAGAGUUUUUACUGAUGCUGAAAACCUAACAGAAGAGAGAGUAGAUGAGGUACUGACCGAGCUUCUAAAAGACUUCAAGGAGGGUUCACUUGAAAGGAAGGGCUGGCCUUCUUCUAUGUCUGCCUCUACAGUCUCAAAAGCAGCACUGAACGCAUAUACAAGAAUUCUAGCAAAGAAGUACCUCAAUUUUCGUAUCAAUUCAGUCUGCCCGGGCUUUGUCAAAACAGAUAUAAACUACAAUGUCGGUGUCCUACCUGUCGAAGAAGGGGCUGCAAGGGUUAUGAAGUUAGCAUUGCUGCCCAAUGAUGGCCCUACUGGCUCCUUCUUUGUUCACAAUGAAGUGUCGGAUCUUUGAUUGAAGAAGAUCCAUAUAUGCAAAUUUAAUACGAUUCGCUUAUUGGGCAACAUCUUGUACUGUAAUGUAAUUUUAAGUAUUUUGGACACCAACAGAUCCUUUUGACGUUCUUUCUACAUUCAAUAAGAGGAUGGCAUAUAUGAUGUUUUAUCUAUGUAAAAUUUCACCAUAGCACACUGUUUAAAUAACAAAAGAAAGGGUCAGGUGUUUCUGGCCUAACCGGAAGCUCCGAGCUGGCUUGAUAACCUUCCCCUUUGGUUUUAGAGAAAGACUUAGCUGUCCUAGGGUGACUACUCCUCUUUCUUUCCUGUAGCAUCUUGUGAUGCAUGCAAGUUUCUUGCGUUUUGAGAAGAGAGACAACGCUGCCAAAUAAAGGCUAAAAGAGUAUUGAGUAAGGCAGUCGCAUCUGAAAUCACAUACACAAGGAGUUUUUUUUCUUUUAGAAAUGGAAUUCAUUCAUAGAAUCAAAGUAGCGUAUAUAGAACGACACAAAACAGUGACCUAGUUAAAACAUUGUUUAGGGAUAAAUUUUAGGGUAGGAAAGAGUACCACAUAUAUCAUUGACUAACAAGAGAGUCUAAAACAAUCACGCAUGACCAAUGCUAGAGCAAGAUAAAAUAAAACAACAAAUUGACACAUAGACCUCCGACGAGAACACUAUAACAUAGUCCAAUUGCCAAAAGAGUCAUACUAUGAAAUUAUAGUCCUUUUGAAGCAACGAGAUAUAGGGAUAGGGAGAUCGAACGAUAACCUUACAAUUAACAAUGUCGGAAUCCACCAACAAACUAAUUCACCAGAGAGUAAAUCUCAAAUAUAUUGAUUGAAAAUGAGAUGAAUAAACUGACAAACACAAUGCCAUGAGUUGGCUUAAAUAGAAAACGAAGAAACCCUAAAACAGUAGGAAACCCUAUGUUCUAGUAUAUUCCUAAACUUACCUAACAAGAAAAUAAUAAAAAUCAUAGCUAAAAUCAUAAUAACAAAAUAAUAUCCUAAUAGAUAACUUAUUCUUCCAAAUAUAAAAUAAAACAUUAAAUUAAAUACAAUCUUGACAGAAUCAUAAUUGCUUCAAACUUCCUUAAUCAAUUAGAAAAUCCCAACGAUACGCCUUGCUUCUUUUCCUACAUUUAAUUGGAAUUUUCCUCUCUUGCAUGAUUUUCUUCCAACUUUGAGCCACUCCACUUUAUUUUAAUUAAUUUUUCACACUUCGUCCUACAUCACCAUUGCACAGCCACAAGACAUUGAGAGCACCCGAUAGAGAACACAAUACACCAAGAAGAAAGAAAACAUCCACUAAGCACACCAUCUCUAACCAACUCCAAUUGCAAUUGGUGAUGAAAGAAGAGAAAUAUGUAAGGAACAACACAAAGAAGAAACUAACCACACAAACAGGCCAGGAAAGAAAAUAAAAUAAAAAAAGCCCUCAAGCACGCUGUAUCAUCUCAACACUGACAAAGAAACCUCCUAUAAAAGCAUAGUCCUAGUGACAGGCGGAGAAUCAAAGAUCAAUUAAGAAGAGAACGAAGAAAACACCACGCAACAAUAACAAAAUUGGUCUAGCCAUUUAACAUGAAUACAGGGAUCAAGCACAAGAGCAUUCGCCAGAUGUCAAGCCCACGAAUGCUCCAAGAACACAUUAAGGAAGACUCCCAAGAGAUUCCAAAAACAAUAUCAUUAAUAUUGCAAACAAGCUAACUUUUCUUUUUUCAAAUUUACCCUUAUUAAAUAUUUUUAUUCAAAAAUUUUACAACUUUUUUAUUACUCUCUCCCACUAUCACAUUCUCUCUCUCACACACCCAGACCCAUCUUCAUAACCCACCACUCCACCCAGACCCAUCCUCACACUUGGACUCCAUUUAUUAAGCAAAUUGACACCUUCGCUUUGGCAAAGUCAACAAAUGAAACUUCACAUGCACCUCUUGAGUCUUAAUUGAGAAUCCUAACACGAUUUGUGAGCCUGCUCGUUUUGCAGAAAAAAAAUUUCCAGCUCCCUCCCCUUAACCCAAAUUCAAAACCAUUUGGAAGACUCCCACCGUCGCUUUUCCCCCUUCUCCAUCAUCCCUGCACUUAUACCUCACCAACCCUCCCUGCAAUUUCUCACCACACCCACCCCCACCCCCACCCCUUUCCCCAAUCUCUAUGUACAUCCUCCCUGAAAUUUGGGUUUCUGCAAAAGAACAAAAAAAAAAAAAAAAAAAAAAAAAAGAUGACAAAAUCAUCGUAUUCAUAUUUUUGUGGAUAGACGUGUGAAGGAGGUAUUGUAAAAUAAAUAAAUAAAGAUCAAACAUGGGUGGGGUGGAAAAUGAAUGUGGCUGUUGGGUUUUCAUCGGCGGGGGAGGAGUCGAGGUUGUGGUGGGAAAAUGAAAUUAAUGGCUGGGGUGGGAGGUGGGGGUGGCUGCGCAGGUGGGAGGAGAGAUGAGUUGUGGGUGUUGACUGCUGGGUUUUCCCAGAGGAGGGGGCCAGGGCGAGUUGGGGUGGGGAUCGGGUGAUUGAAAAACCCCUUUUUUUAUUGUUUAUUAUUUUUUUUUAAAAAAAAGGGUAAAUACGGAAAUACAAUUAAUGUUCUUUUGUGUAAUUAAAUUAUUAGUUUAAGUGAGAGGGAAGUGACAUGUGUCGUGAGUAAAAGAACGAAAAUUCAAAAGAGAAAGUUAGAAAAAAGAUGCUAGCAUUCCCCAUCCUUAAACACAAAAAUCCAAACAAAUCCGAUUACUUCUUAUCAUUUAUUUGAAUACAGACCUUUAAAUUCAAAGGCUUUCCAGAAGAGAAGGCCUCUUCCUUCUGUUCAAAGGCUUCCCAUUUCGAAUAUAUCAAUGGCAGAAGCAACAAAGAGGUAGCACUUUAGAGUCCUUUCUGCUUUGGUUCCUUGUCACAUCUCCAUUCGCUCUAAUUGUUUCUGCUUACCAUUUUUGUGUUAUGAAUUUGGUGUUUUUGUUUUUCCAGGUAUGCAGUUGUUACUGGGGCAAACAAAGGCAUAGGAUUGGAAACUGUGAGGCAAUUGGCCUCAAAUGGAUUCACUGUAGUUUUAACUGCCAGAGAUGAGAAAAGGGGUCUUGAAGCUGCUGAGAAACUCAAAGAGUCUGGCCUCUCAGGUCAAGUGGUUUUUCAUCAACUUGAUGUGGCUAACCCAGCUACUGUUGCUUCCUUGGCAGACUUCAUCAAAACCCAGUUUGGGAAACUCGAUAUCUUGGUAAGUAUAUGAUCAUAGCUGCAGGUUUCUUGAAAAAGUUUAUGUCUCUUGAAUUGAACUCUUAAUCCGAACGCGAUUUAAUUGAAGGAGAUGAAAUAUGGAAUCAUAUAGCAAAUGAAAUUGGAGAAUAAAAAUAGCAAACCAAGUGUUAACUAGCUUAAUAAAUGUCAUCAAGAAGUUAAUCUUUGAAAUAAUUAGAAGUCUUAGGGUUUUUGAAGAACAAAAUAAGUUUCACAUAAACUACCAGUUGUGGAAGAUUUUACCUUCAAAUCUAACUCUAUGUCUGCCACUCUGUUUUUGUUUCUUGGAAUCUUUUCAUAUAUGAUAUGAUCCCUUUCUGUACAAUUUACAAGUACCUUAGAAAGAUCCGUGGCUGGAAUUAAGGGGUUUGGCAAAGUAGCAUAAUUAUUGUGCUUCUUUAAAGGCAUUGGCCUUUAUGGUUGGUAUGGUUGUAAAAACAAAGAGAUUGUCAGAGUACUCAGAGGAUCUAUCAACUUACUUUUCAUUUCAUUUUCUAUAAAAUAAAAAAAUCUGUUCUUUUCUUUACUAAAAGAAAACAGAAAGUGAAACAGUUGGACUCUGCACAGGUGAACAAUGCAGGGAUUUUUGGAAGCAUAUUAGAUGGUGAUGCUUUUAAAGCUGUAAUAGCCUCUGGUGCCGUGGUAAGUCUUUUGCAUAAUUUUUAUCAAUAGCUAUCAAAAACUAAAAGCUUCAAUGUAUGUGCCAAAGUGAGAAUUUAAACUGAUCUGUGGUUUGGCAAACUUUAAUAAACAUUUUUCUUGUUUGGGGUGUUGUGUAAGUGGUGGGCAAUAGGCAUCAUAAUAAUAAGUUUGCUUUUGUUGAUACAGGAAGGAGGAGAAGUUGAUUUGAGUAAACUAGUGACUGAAACGUAUGAGUUAACAGAAAAAUGCUUGCAAAUAAACUAUUAUGGUGCUAAAAGAACAGCUGAAGCACUUAUCCCACUCCUCCAGUUAUCUGACUCACCGAGAAUUGUUAAUGUUUCGUCUGGCUCGGGGAAGUUAAAGAAGAUACCAAGUGAUUGGGCUAAAGGAGUUUUUACUGAUGCCGAAAACCUAACAGAAGAGAGAGUAGAUAAGGUACUGACUGAGCUUCUAAAAGAUUUCAAGGAGGGUUCACUUGAAAGUAAGGGCUGGCCUUCUUCUAUGCCUGCCUAUAUAGUCUCAAAAGCAGCACUGAACGCAUAUACAAGGAUUCUAGGAAAGAAGUACCCCACUUUUCGUAUCAAUUCAGUCUGCCCUGGCUUUGUCAAAACAGAUAUAAACUUCAAUGCCGGCGUCUUGCCUGUCGAAGAGGGUGGUGCCAGGAUUGUAAAGUUAGCAUUGCUGCCCAAUGAUGGCCCUACUGGCUCCUUCUUUGUUCACGAUGAAGUGUCAGAUUUUUGAUUGAAGAUGAUCCAUUUAUGCAAAUUUAAUACGAGUCAUUUAUUGGGCAACAUUUGGUACUGUAAUGUAAUUUUAAGUAUUUUGGUAUGUAUAUUGAUUGAAGGAUCUAGUGCAUUGUUUACAUUUCUACUAUUCAUCUGGCUCUUGGACUCAUAUUAUCAUUUACAAUGUUAUUCAGUCAGAAAUUCUAUGUGAUCGAUGUCCGGUAUUAUCGAUAGUAUAUCAAUAACAUUUCGGUAUAUUUUGUUAGACUUAAGUUAGAGACAAUAAUAUUGACAGUCCAUCAUUUAAUUAAGGACGAAGUUUUGAGAAGAAUUGAUUAUUCAAUAUUAUCCAACUUAAAUUGUAAUAGCACAAUCGCAAACUUCUGCAGUCAAUUGUGUAAACGAAGGCAUAGGAUUGGAAACUGUCAGGCAGUUGGCCUCAAAAGGAUUCACUGUAGUCUUAACUGCCAGAGAUGAGAAGAGGGGUCUUGAAGUUGUUGGGAAACUCAAAGAGUCUGGCUCCUCAGGUCAAGUGAUUUUUCAUUAGCUUGAUGUGGCUAACCCAGUAACACAGGAGAAGGUUAAUGUUAAAUUGAGUGGCUGAUAUAUAUCAUGCUUAUUGUGUCCACUUCCAGUUGUGUACACGUACCAAGUACCCUAGAAAGAUCAGUGGCUGGAAUUAAGACCCACAUUCAGAGGACUCUCACCCUUAUUUAAGUGUGCUACCGGUGCGGCAGUUUUAUCGAAGAUUUUUUCCUAUCAAAAGGUGAAAGUUGUCACAAGUAAAUUAAUAUCCAUGUUUCUACUAGGAUAUAUUAGUCAAUUAGAAAUUUUCUGCGCAAGUUGAAAAGUCUUGCAUGCGAAACUGCUUGCCACUGCCACCACCAAAAUUCAACAACGUGAGCACUUGCGUCACCACUACCCCAUUAUUUUCCUUUAAAAUCUUCACAACAAAAUUCCAAACAAGUCUUGGUCCCUCUUUCACCACAAUAUCCAAUUACUGCUAGAAAACACUAGAAGCAUCCUCCCUCCAGUAUGUAAUAGGAACAACAGAACCAACAAUUUUCAUCUUCUUCUUAAUAUUUAUCUUAAUAUAAUCCCCAGAAUUCAAAGGCUUUUCAAGAACAUUUCACUAUAAAAGAGAAGAAGGCUGUUGCUGUUUAAUACACAUCUCAAUUUUCCCAGACCGUCCCGUUUCGAAUCUAUCAAUGGCAGAAGUAACAAAGAGGUAGCACUUUAAAGUACUGCUUUCAUAACAAUUUCUCACUAUUUUUGUGUUCUGAAUUUGGUGUUUUUUGUUUUCUCAGGUAUGCAAUUGUUACUGGAGCAAACAAAGGCGUAGGAUUGGAAACUGUCAGGCAGUUGGCCUCAAAUGGAUUUAUUGUAGUCUUGACUGCCAGAGAUGGCAAGAGGGGUCUUGAAGCUGUUGAGAAACUCAAAGAGUCUGGCCUCUCUGGUCAAGUGGUUUUUCAUCAACUUGAUGUAGCUAACCCUGCUAGUGUUGCUUCCUUGGCAGACUUCAUCAAAACCCAGUUUGGGAAACUGGAUAUCUUGGUAUGUAUAUGAUCAUAGCUGCAGGUUUCUUGAAAAAGUUUCUGUCUUUUGAAUCCAACUCUUAAUCCAAAUGCGAUUUUGUUGACGGAAUUGGAGAAUAAAAAUAGCAAACCAUCUACAUUUGUUUCUUGGAAUCCUUUCAUAUAUGAUGUGAUCCCUUUCUGUACAAUUUACAAGUACCCUAUAAAGAUCAGUGGCUGGAGUUAAGGGGUUUGGAAAAGUAGCAUGGUUGGUUUGGUUGUAAAACAAAGAGAUUAUCCAAGUAAUCAGAGGAUCUAUCAACUUUCUUUUCAUUUCAUUUUCUAUAGAAAAAAAUUAUGUUCUUUUCUUUGCUAAAAGAAAACAGAUAGUGAAACAGUUGGACUCUGCACAGGUGAACAAUGCAGGAAUUUUUGGAAGCAUAAUAGAUGUUGAUGCUUCUAAAGCUGCUGUAGCCUCUGGUGCCAUGGUAAGUCUUUUGCAUAAUUUUAUCAAUAGCUAUCAAAAACUAAAAGCUUCAAUCUAUAUGCCAAAGUGAGAAUUUAAAAUGAUUUGUGGUUUGGCAAACUUUAAUCAACAUUUUUCUUGUUUGGAGUGUUGUGCAAGUGGUGGGCAAUAGGCACCAUAAUAAUAAGUUUGCUUUUGCUGAUACAGGCAAGAGGAGAAGUUGAUUUGAGUAAACUAGUGACUGAAACUUAUGAGUUAACAGAAGAAUGCUUGCAAAUAAACUAUUAUGGUGCUAAAAGAACAGCUGAAGCACUUAUCCCACUCCUCCAGUUUUCUGACUCACCGAGAAUUGUUAAUGUUUCUGCUGGCUUGGGGAUGUUAAACAACAUACCAAGCGAUUGGGCUAGAGGAGUUUUUACUGAUGCCGAAAACCUAACAGAAGAGAGAGUAGAUGAGGUACUGACUGAGCUUCUAAAAGAUUUCAAGGAGGGUUCACUUGAAAGUAAGGGCUGGCCUUCUUCUAUGCCUGCCUAUAUAGUCUCAAAAGCAGCACUGAACGCAUAUACAAGGAUUCUAGCAAAGAAGUACCCCAAUUUUCGUAUCAAUUCAGUCUGCCCUGGCUAUGUCAAAACAGAUAUGAACUUCAAUGCCGGCCUCUUGCCUGUCGAAGAAGGUGGUGCCAGGGUUGUGAAGUUAGCAUUGCUGCCCAAUGAUGGCCCUACUGGCUCCUUCUUUGUUCAGAAUGAAGUGUCGGAUCUUUGAUUGAAGAUGAUCCAUUCAUGCAUAUUUAAUACAUGUCACCUAUUGGGCAACUUCUUGUACUGUAAUGUAAUUUUAAGUAUUUUGGACACCAGCAGAUUCUUUUUUGGUUCUUUCUACAUUCAAUACGAGGAUGGCAUGUAUAUGAUGCUUUUUAUCUAGGUAAAAUUUCACCAAAGCACAAUGUUUAAAUAACAAAAGAAACUGCACCCCAAAAAAGAAUAGAAAAGUUCAGGUGUUUCUGGCCUCACAGGAAGCUCUCAGCUGACUUGACCUUCCCCUUUGGUUUUUGGGGAAAGACUUAGCUGUCCUGGGGUGACUACUCCUUGUUCCUUCCUAUAGAAUCUUGUGAUGUAUGCAAGUUUCUUGCGUUUAGAGAGGAGAGACAACACUCCCAAAUAAAGGCCGAAAAAGUCACAUUUGUUAUAAAACUAAAGAAAUUGAAGAGAGAAUUUAGAGAAUUCAAAUAGCGACAGGAAUGCUCUUCCGUUAUUUUCAUUGAGAUUUUCUUCUAUAUCUACAAAUGAGAAUGAAGCUAUAGUUUUAUAGGCAAAGCCUUGGCUAACAAUUCGGUAAAUAGAAGACUCCAAGA